rnacentral:rRNA from 1 species
AACGCUAGCUACAGGCUUAACACAUGCAAGUCGAGGGGCAGCAUCAUCAAAGCUUGCUUUGAUGGAUGGCGACCGGCGCACGGGUGAGUAACACGUAUCCAACCUGCCGACAACACUGGGAUAGCCUUUCGAAAGAAAGAUUAAUAUCCGAUGGUAUAUUAAAACCGCAUGGUUUUACUAUUAAAGAAUUUCGGUUAUCGAUGGGGAUGCGUUCCAUUAGUUUGUUGGCGGGGUAACGGCCCACCAAGACUACGAUGGAUAGGGGUUCUGAGAGGAAGGUCCCCCACAUUGGAACUGAGACACGGUCCAAACUCCUACGGGAGGCAGCAGUGAGGAAUAUUGGUCAAUGGACGAGAGUCUGAACCAGCCAAGUAGCGUGAAGGAUGACUGCCCUAUGGGUUGUAAACUUCUUUUAUAUGGGAAUAAAGUAUUCCACGUGUGGAAUUUUGUAUGUACCAUAUGAAUAAGGAUCGGCUAACUCCGUGCCAGCAGCCGCGGUAAUACGGAGGAUCCGAGCGUUAUCCGGAUUUAUUGGGUUUAAAGGGAGCGUAGGUGGAUUGUUAAGUCAGUUGUGAAAGUUUGCGGCUCAACCGUAAAAUUGCAGUUGAAACUGGCAGUCUUGAGUACAGUAGAGGUGGGCGGAAUUCGUGGUGUAGCGGUGAAAUGCUUAGAUAUCACGAAGAACUCCGAUUG